CAACAUUUUAAAAUUAAAAAACCUCCUCCACCUUUUUCUUUCAAGUAGUUGCAGGUAAAAUCAUGGCUUUGCUUUUAAAAAGGUUACUAUAAACAUUUGAUUCUCCAUAUAGAAUCGAUUCUGGCUGUUUAAAUGGUGAAACAUGAACUCUGAACAUUUACUUUUAUUUGUGAAGCGCUCGAUCUCUAGCCUGUUAAUGAUUACAGUCAUUCGCUUCAUAUAAUGUUAGGAUAUACAGUAGAGCAGGGCAAACUUCAAGAGCAGUAAAGUUAUUUUAGGUUCAACAUUCGCUUAUGGUGUGUAAGGGACUGUCUGAAAACUCCACACACAGUGCAAAAACAAUAGCAAUGUCCAACCAUUCAUUCAAAUGACUUGUAAGUUUUAACAUACAAAAUGGCUGCAAGAGGACUUUACCGGGAUUCAAGCACCAAAGGCUCAUGUAGACGAUACGAGUGACGAUGCAUAUGAUAACGGAGGCCUGACAACUGUAUGAAGCUCUUCCCACACUGAUGGCAUGUGUGCGGCUUCUCUCCAGUGUGAAUCCUCAUGUGUUUGUCCAGGUGGACUUUCUCUUUGAAUCCAUAUCCACACUGAGCGCAUGUGAACGGUCUUUCUUCAGAGUGACUUUUCAGAUGCUUUCUGAGGUGUUCACGUGUAGUGAAGGUCUUGCCACACUCCACACAAGCAUGAGUUUUCACAGAAGAAUGGAUCUUCUGGUGCUUUUUGCAAUUGGCCAGCCGUGAAAAACUCUUUCCACACACUGGACACAAGUACGGCCUCUCGACUGCGUGAACUGUCAGGUGUUUGUUGAGAUAUGACGAGGAUCUAAACUUCUUGCCACACUGAUCACAGCUGAAUGGAUUUUCAUGACAGCGCAGAUGACGACUGAGAUGAAUCUUCUGUGAAAAACUCUUUCCACACUGUUGACAUGCGUGAGGUUUCUCUCCAGUGUGUAUUCUCAUGUGUCUGUUAAGGUGGCUUUUGAGCAUGAAACUCUUUCCACACUGAAGACACGUGUGAAGCUUCUCGCCAGUAUGAAUUAGCUGGUGCUUUUUAAAGCUUCCUUUUAGUGUGAAACUCUUUCCACACUCAGGGCAAGUGAAAGACUUGUUGGUCUUUGCAGUUCUUCUGUUUUUUGAUAAAUUCUUUUUUGCAACAUCA